AGACCAGUGCGCCCCGCCCUCCCAGCGCCGGCGACCGCCGCAAGGGCCCCGCCCCGCCCGCCAGCCUAGCCCGCCCCUCCUUAUCUGGUCCUCGGUCCCGGGCCGGGAGGCGGCCAGCGGGCUGGGGCCACGCGAUGUCGCAUGGAUCGGGACUCGUCCGCACCACGUGCAGCAGCGGCAGCGCGCUGGGACCCGGGGUGGGCGCGAGCCAGCCCUCGGAGGGGCUGCUGGACUCCGUCUACCCCCGCACCCAGGGGGCCCUGCUCAAAGUGGCGCAGAUGGUCACCCUGCUGAUUGCCUUCAUCUGUGUGCGGAGUUCCACAUGGAUCGACUACAGUGCCUUCAGCUACUUUGAAGUGGUUACCAUUUGCGACUUAAUCAUGAUCCUGGCCUUUUACCUGGUCCACCUCUUCCGCUUCUACCGUGUGCUCACCUGCAUCAGCUGGCCGCUGUCGGAAUUUCUGCACUAUGUCAUCGGUACGCUGCUCCUCCUCAUCGCCUCCAUCGUGGCGGCCUCCAAGAGUUACAGCCACGGCGGACUGGUAGCCGGAGCGAUCUUCGGGUUCGUGGCCACCUUUCUCUGCUUGGCUAGCGUGUGGCUGUCCUACAAGAUCUCAUGUGUGACCCAGUCAACAGACGCAGCUGUUUGACAAGGCCACAGCCUCUGGAUGCCUCAAGAGGAUCUGCAGGACUUGGGCCUGGCAGACAGGAGGAUCAGUGCCCCCGGCACGGCUUCUGGACUCUGUUCCUAUGCCAAAGUCACAAGCAGGCUGGCAGGCACCAGGAAGGCCCACCUGGCCGCCUGCUUUCCCAAGACAACAGGUCUGAGCUCCUGGGCUGGCCAGAGUCUCUGUCUCCAGUCUUCCCUGGAGAACUUUCCUCCCCUUCUGGGAAAGGAAGCAGCUCCAAGGACAGUCUGUCUCUUCUGCCUGCUCUUAGCAGCACCUCAGGAUCUCACUAAAUUGCCAAGACGCACACUGCUGACCGGCCUGCCUCCGCCUCCCGAGUCGCUGGGAUCACAGGCGUGCUCCACUGCACCCAACCCAGGAUAUUUUUUAAAAAAGUGAUAUAAGACCUUCUGUCUAGGCAUCGCCAUGAUAAAGGGGGCAAAAGUUACAUCCAACUCAAAGCAGCAAACCACAGCAGCCCAACAGGAGCCAACACCACGCUCUAGGAGCUAAGCUUCUGGAGAACUCGAGCUGUCGGCGCCUUUGUGGUGUCAAUCAGGCCCUCUUGGAGCUGCUCCCUCUGGGGCCAUGCCCUGUGGAACACGAACUCUGUACCCAGCUCCCAGGCAGACCCUUGUGAGGACGUGAAAGGGAGGGCUGGCCCAUGGAAGAGGGGUAGGGAGCCAGGGGCCCGACGUCCCCAAGACCAGGAGCCCGCCCUGGCCUAUCAAGGCAGCCAGAGGUCCCAAGAAAGGGCGUUGGCCCCUGUGGCAACAAGAGGCACUGAGCCAUGCGGCCACGACUUGUCUGCCCACAUUCCCCAACCACGAGCAGCCAGUUCAGGCCAGCAGAGCCUCCCUGGGCCUGGCCUGGCUCACGGAAGAAAGGGAUGGGAGGUGGAGGGUGCCGUCACGGGCAAGCCUGUGCCACAGGUGUUUUCUCACCACCCGAAAGACUGACUGACAGAAAGGCUGCUGCUCAGGCAGAUGCUGGAACAUGGUGGCUGUGAUGCUCUCCAGGGAGGGAUGUGGCCUGUGGCAACAGAACCACCCCUGUCUUAGAGGGUCCUGUGAGGGAACCACCUACCCUGGAGGUGCUAGCAGUGGGGCAGAGAGCCCCAAAGAGAGCUGAAUGGAGGUGAGCAGGGUUUGAGCCCAGGUUUGGCUGUCUCCUGGGCCUGACCUGUGGCCAUCCUACUUAGGGCCUCUGAGGCACAAAGCAGGACUGGAGCCAGACUGUGCCAACUGGCUUCCUUCGUAACAGUGGCCCUAAGAGCCACAGACAGGCCCAAAGUAGAGGCGCACAGAGACCCAGAGCGCCCAGGCCUUUUUCCUAGCUUCAAAAGUAAACCUCUGUGGCCAUGGAAACAGAGCAGGUCUUUGGGGCCCCUCAGCAACCGCCACUUCCCCUCUUCUGAUGGUUUCUGUGCUGAAUCCUGUGAACUCUCAGAGGUGCUCCAGGGGACCCUCAGAAAUUGGAUCACAUGUGUGAAAUAUGCUAACAUCUGAAAGCACACACUCUCCAGUCGUCGAGAGCAAACACUGGCACUGGGAACCUCUUCCGCUAGGAAGACUCCCCUCGGACAGGCUCAGGGGACCCUGGCCUUACAGCUUCCUUAGAGUUGAAGACAAGGCCAAGAGUGUGAGGCCAACCACUGAAAACCCGCUGCUUCCUUUCGGGGGAGCCUGGAGUCCUCCAGGCCACUCAGCCAACAGCACUGGAAGGAUCCAGAGGCAGGCCACAGCUGCUCUACCACUCACUCCACUGUGGGCUUUUCACCAUGACUCACUCUUCUUAGGGACAGACUUUAUAAGAAGUAAAUUACAAAUAUGUUAAUAAUUUAUAUUCAUGCCAUGUUUUCUGUUUUAUAUAACAGAGUUUCAAGAAUGAUUUAUAUUGAAAAGAGGAUCAUCCCCCUGACAAAAUUUUUUUUUAAAGUUUGGAAAACCUCUGGAUUGUAGGGAGCUGUCAGGCUGCCACUUGACCCCAGGGUAGAUGGAGGUGUGCAGAACCCCAGAGGGGCAUUCUCAUGACGACCACCAGAGAACACCUGGUGCCUCCAGCCCUUGCAAGGAGAUUGAAACCGAGUGAUCGGUAGAGUUUUAUUGUCAUUUUCUACAUAUGUAGAAAACUAAAAGACAAACAAAAACCUCCACAUAAAGUUGUGCAAAAAAGGAAGAAUGCUGCCUGGCUCCGCUCUGAACAGAAUAAUUGUCACAUUGAAUACUGAUUUGACCUAAGCAAUGGCAGACUGCUCAGCAGGGCGUGGUGCAUGCAUGUGGUGGGGUGCACCUGGGAGAGCAGCCAGACUGACAGCUCGGUGUUGCCAGAUGCCCUAGUGACCCAGAGAAAUGGAAAUAUGGAUUUUCAGGCUAAAUAUCUUCUGAUUUGUAAAUGUUGUCAAAGAAACGUUUUAAAGAUACACUUCAGACCAAACAAAAGCCUAUCUGGGAAGCUAGAAGGAGCCAGCCGGCCAUCAGUUUGAGACCCUGACCUAGUGGAACCUGAAGCACCUGCCCUCAAAAACUAGGCAGUAUUGGGGGAGGUCGGGGAAGAGUGGCAGAAAGAAGUCAGGCUGAGGCCCAGAGGCCCGUAGAGGCCCGGCUGACUGCCAGCUGCUUCCUCCCGAAACCUGGGGGCAGCAAGGGGCACAGGCUCUCCCCGGGGAGCGCCCCUCCCCGCCCCCUGCCAACAGCUGCGCCUACUCGCUGCGCGGCCACACCUCCCACCUGGGCACAGCUCUUCGGUUGCAAAAACAAAACCCACCUCGCAGGUGGCAGCGCCAGGCGGUGCCACGCGCCCACGGCUAGCGGCGUGCGCCCUCUAGCGGCCAGAUGCGGGCACCGAGCCCCGGAUCUUGGUCUAGCAAAUGCCUCUGGAAAGUCAAGUUCCUGAUUCCAGGGUUCAGAUGAGAAGCACCAAUUUGUAUGUUUUAUGUGGACCUCGGGUGCACAAAUUAAUAAUCCUCGGGUCAUGCCAUUUUUACACUCUGAUUACUGGUCGAUGCAUGACCUCCUCGCUCUCUUCCGAUUAGUUUGUUAUAAUGUAGUCAACACUGAAGCAAGAAUCAUAACAAUUAACUGUAGCUAUAUGCUUCCCUAGUUCAUCACCCCCAACCCCGGCCAAUUUCUCCCCUCCCAAAUCUCCCCUUCAUCUGCUUCUGCUUCUUUUCUUCCUCCCCCACCCUCCCCAUAUUGGGUAUUGAACCAAUGGGACCCUCUACCACUGAGCUACGUCCCUAGCUCUUUUUAUUAUUAUUUUUAAAAUUUCAAGAUAGAGUUUUGCAGUUACUGAGGCUGACCUUGAACCUGCCAUCCUCCUGCCUCAGCCUCUUGAGUAGCUGGAAUUACAGGCUGCUUGCUCUUAUAGUUUCAUUGUAGUUCUAACAUCUAUUGCUUUUAAAGCAAUAUAAUUAGAGCUGGGAGCGGUGGUGCAUGCCUGUAAUCCCAAAGGCUCUGGAGGCUAAAGCAGGAGAAUCCAGAGUUCAAAACCAGCCUCAACAACUUAGAGGCCCCUCAGCAAUUCAGCAAUAUAAAAAAGGGCUGGGGAUGU